rnacentral:rRNA from 1 species
UAGUCUGGUGCCAGCAGCCGCGGUAAUUCCAGCUCCAAUAGCGUAUAUUAAAGUUGUUGCAGUUAAAACGCUCGUAGUCGGAUUUCGGGGCAGGUUUGCCGGUCUGCCGAUGGGUAUGCACUGGUAGAAGUGUCCUUCCUUCCGGAGACGGCGCCUACUCUUAACUGAGCGGGUGUCGGAGACGGAUCGUUUACUUUGAAAAAAUCAGAGUGUUUCAAGCAGGCAGCUCGCUUUUGCAUGGAUUAGCAUGGGAUAAUGAAAUAGGACUUUGGUGCUAUUUUGUUGGUUUCGAACACCGAAGUAAUGAUUAACAGGGACAGUCAGGGGCACUCGUAUUCCGCCGAGAGAGGUGAAAUUCUUAGACCAGCGGAAGACGAACCACUGCGAAAGCAUUUGCCAGGGAUGUUUUCACUGAUCAAGAACGAAAGUUAGGGGAUCGAAGACGAUCAGAUACCGUCGUAGUCUUAACCAUAAACCAUGCCGACUAGGGAUUGGAGGAUGUUCCUAUGUGACUCCUUCAGCACCUUUCGGGAAACUAAAGUCUUUGGGUUCCGGGGGGAGUAUGGUCGCAAGGCUGAAACUUAAAGGAAUUGACGGAAGGGCACCACCAGGAGUGGAGCCUGCGGCUUAAUUUGACUCAACACGGGGAAACUUACCAGGUCCAGACAUUGUGAGGAUUGACAGAUUGAGAGCUCUUUCUUGAUUCGAUGGGUGGUGGUGCAUGGCCGUUCUU